AGCGGGGAUAAACCGCAGCCGAAGCCAAAGGUGAUGCCGAACACGCUGAGUUCCCCGCGCCAGCGG
rnacentral:sRNA from 1 species